CAGUCGCCACGGUAAUACGAAGGGGGCUAGCGUUGCUCGGAAUGACUGGGCGUAAAGGGCGCGUAGGCGGUUUAUACAGUCAGACGUGAAAUUCCUGGGCUCAACCUGGGGACUGCAUUUGAUACGUAUGGACUUGAGUGGAGAAGAGGGUCGUGGAAUUUCCAGUGUAGAGGUGAAAUUCGUAGAUAUUGGAAAGAACACCGGUGGCGAAGGCGGCGACCUGGUCUUUAACUGACGCUGAGGCGCGAAAGCGUGGGGAGCAAACAGGAUUAGAUACCCCGGUAGUCCCUGUCUCUUAUAC
rnacentral:rRNA from 1 species